rnacentral:sRNA from 1 species
UAUAAUGAACACGGCCGCACCACAAGUAAAGUCUGAGGAAGGACAGAAAACGCUCUGGAGGCUGGUUCAGUCACCCGUUAUCAGUAAAAAUGGUUGACCCCUAACAAUAUGUACAAAAAUACAAAAUGUAAAUAAGAAAUUCAAACUUUCCUUUUAAAGUAUGUUUAAGAAAAAUAGCAGGGCCUGGGAAGCUCUGGUUCUCUUCUCCUCCCAUGUUGCUAAUUCAUGUCGUGGUUUGGGUGGGGCGGUGGAGAGCAUAUGUUAUCUGUGGGUGGCUCUGCCCUCUGUGGGCGGGCGUGGCCUGCUUCUCUACUCGAAGAAGAUCACAUUAAAAUUCUGAGACUGGAAGUGGAGGGUGAAUAGGUCACGGUGUGUAAAGUCCUUGGUGGUGAUCUCGGAGCUGGUAUCCACUGCGGAGUCUGACAUGGUGGGGCACGCCGAUGGUCCGGUGCUGCGAAUAAGGAAUUAGUCGAGCUCGAGGACUCUGUUCCCUUGUGUUCCAUGCCCUCUCCAGCCUCAGCAUCUCCGGUAAGACCCAGAAUUUCAUGUAACCUAAUUUCACUUCCCGGCUUGGGAUGUGGCUCAUCCCUCCUUCUCAGCCCUGGAAUGCCGCCUAUCUAGUCACAACUCCCCUUCGCAGGAUUACUGAACGAAACAGAAGAACGACACUUCUUCUGUCUAGCACCAGAACCAAGGAAAUGAUCGUCAAAGUAUUUCCAUGCUGUAAUCCCCAGGACAAAGUCUAACUUCAGUUCAAUUAAAACUGACUACUAUAUCUAGGGCCAUGGGUAAGGUAUGUCUGCGAAAGAUAAAAUUAUCACCUUCAAAGUUCUAGCAGGAAAGAAGAUGAGUUUUAAAAUAGCCUAUAGUUCAGGACAGAAGAAAAAAAAUAAGUGCCGUAUGAAACCCACAAAAGGCAAAAUUAGUUUCAGAUGAUGAAGAGAUCCUACCAAGAUGAUAAUUAGCAAGCGCCUUGCAGGAGAAUGGCUGCUUGAAAUUGACUUGGAAAGAAUUGAUAGAAUUUCAAUAAUUGGAAAAGGAGAAUAAGAGAAAGGCGCUCCAAGUGGAGGGACUAGCCUCUAGAAAAGGGGCAGAGAAUGGAAACCUGGAGUACGUUUAAGGACAAAAUGACAGUUGACUGUUUGACAGGAAUGUCGAGGAAGUUUUAGAAACGCAACUCUGGAGCUGGGCAUGACAGCACACGCUUGGAUGCAAGGUAGGAGGGUCGUGAGUUCAAAGACAUCCUGAACUACAUAGUGAGUUCGAAGCCUGUAUUGUACAGUAAGACCCUGUCUCAAAAAGGUAGAGGGGGCAAUGAGGGAGGAAGGGAAAAGACAGAAAAUGGCAGGAGGGAAGAGGGGAAGGGAGGAAAGGUCCCAAAUAGAGCAAUGUGCCCAUAACUUUCGGCUAGGAAGGGUUUGGGAUUCUAAGGAUGUAGAUAUUAUUUCAUCUAAUGGCUUCCCAAAAGAAAAUUUACUUACAAAAUAUACCUCAAUCUUUUCUGGUCCACAGCUAUGGAUGGACCUCCUGUGGUUGCCCUAAUUCUAGCAUUCUCAGGCCAACGGAGGCUGAGGCCACGGCCCAUGGUCACUGUGUCAGGCGAGGCUCUGACUAAGAAAGCAAGGAAAACAAGCGGAUGUGCUUGGGCUUCAGUUUCUUUUAACUACACCAUUCCCUGUUCUUAGCCCAGGAUGCCGUCAUCCAGGACUCUGAAAACUCUUCUUUGUCACGAGCUUAGGCAGAAAGUCUCUCCAGCCGUGGGUCAGAAUAAGGAAGACCAGGUUCAAGGAGGCCAAGGCAUGAACCUAGAGUCGCCCAGCUGGUACGUACCAAAGCCAAAUCUCUCCUAAUUAAAAUUCUAUCUAACAAGCCUGCCUCUCAUAAAGAUCAAACCCUCUGAUAGUCUCACUAGCAGGUGUCUUCCAGACUUGCUGAUUGUUCACAAUGGAGCUAAUGGAUGUGCUGCCCAGACAAGUUCCAGGUUCCCCUUAAACAGGUUUUUCACAAGCUUCAAACCAAUUGAGGAGUGUGAAGAAACCAGCGAGAGACACUCCACCCAGCAGCCACUCGAACCAACAGUGGUUUCUGCAGACAGCAGUCUAAUCUCUUGGUCUGGCAAGGCUGGGCAAGAGAUCAUUUUCCAGGCUCACCUGCAAUGCUGAAAUUGGAACAUCUUUUCCCACGCAUGUCCUCAGUACUAGAAAUAGUCCCAGUUCCUGACAUAAAGCAAUCGAAGCCCUAGGGAUUCCCGCAUGAUGGUCAUGUGUGCUUUCGUUCUGCCUGGGCCCUGUGUGUUCACACCCCAGUUUAGGGUGCGAUAUGAACUCAAGCUUCGGGAAAUGCUGGGAUAGCUAGGCGGGGGAUGGGAGGCUUCAGGGGGGGAGUUUGUGGCCAGAGGGAUGGGAUUUUCCAUCCCCACUUCAGGCUCAGGGGAUGGAAUGAAGGCCAGAGACUGGGUUCAGAUCAAUCUUCUCUAUGAAGUACUACCUCCCUAAGAUCCCAAAUGAUAACAUCAGAGAGCUUCAAUCACACAGUUGACAAUCACAUGACGGUCUCAGCCAAGAGAGUCUCAGUCUCAACUCACUGGGAACAGCAGCUAUGGAGCAAGGGCCCUUCUAGGUCACACAUAUACAUUUUCUUCUGACUGUUCAUUUUUAUUCUUUACAAUAACCAAAAAUAUCAAUAAAUAAAACAUUUUCCAAAGUCUUA